rnacentral:rRNA from 1 species
UCAGAUGUGCCCAGAUGGGAUUAGCUUGUUGGUGAGGUAACGGCUCACCAAGGCGACGAUCCCUAGCUGGUCUGAGAGGAUGACCAGCCACACUGGAACUGAGACACGGUCCAGACUCCUACGGGAGGCAGCAGUGGGGAAUAUUGCACAAUGGGCGCAAGCCUGAUGCAGCCAUGCCGCGUGUAUGAAGAAGGCCUUCGGGUUGUAAAGUACUUUCAGCGGGGAGGAAGGUGUUGUGGUUAAUAACCGCAGCAAUUGACGUUACCCGCAGAAGAAGCACCGGCUAACUCCGUGCCAGCAGCCGCGGUAAUACGGAGGGUGCAAGCGUUAAUCGGAAUUACUGGGCGUAAAGCGCACGCAGGCGGUCUGUCAAGUCGGAUGUGAAAUCCCCGGGCUCAACCUGGGAACUGCAUUCGAAACUGGCAGGCUUGAGUCUUGUAGAGGGGGGUAGAAUUCCAGGUGUAGCGGUGAAAUGCGUAGAGAUCUGG